rnacentral:lncRNA from 1 species
GGUGAUGUCGGCCUUGAAUUUCCUGCAUUGAGAAAGGUUAGUUGAAUUUUUUUUAUUUUUCUUUCUUUUUUCUUUUGUCUCUUUUUUCUUUUCUUUUUUAUUAAUAGGAUGAACAGGUAGUCAGAAAUCAAAGGGAUCUUGUUCACAUGGUCCUCCAUAAUCUGCACAAGAUCCUUCAGAGGUGGUAUCUUCUGUUUCUGAUUCUCUUUUCAUCUUGAUGAAUUGUAAAUAUUCUUUUGCUGUUUCGGGAUCCUCUUCAAAGAGUUGGAACAUCUUGACUUGCUUUUGAGAAAGAGGAACUGAUUCCUUUUCUUUUUUCUUUUCAUUGGAAGGAUGAUCUGAAAUGAUUUUCUCU